ACCCAUAAUGACGAUUGAAGCCAGGACACUGUGCCACAUUAUCAGAGCUGGGAAAAUUAGAGAGUAACAUGUUUUAAGAUGCAGAGAAAGGGGACAGAGAAGAAAUGAACAAAAGAAGCUGCCCUGCGGAAGAAAUGACACAAGAUUUUGUUGAACUGUGUCAAAAAAUGAUCACCUCAUCAAGCCAAGAAGAGGAUACAAUGCUAAACACACAAACUCCUGAAAAAAGAUGAAAGGCAAAAUCUGAGAGUUUAGCGAUGAUGUACACAUGGUCAAAAAGGGAGAAACUGAAUAAAGUGAAUAUGUUUUUCACUAUAAUUUCAACAUUGCCACUUUCAUUUCACUGCACAUCUCGUAUGUGUAUGUGACAAAUAAACUUGACUUGACU